AAGCGUACUAUUUUAUGCGCAAUAAUAAAGUAUAUGUGAUUCGACAACGAUUGUAAACAUUGGUGAAAUGCUUCUUACAUAGUUAUUCUUUUGAGUGUUUAUGAGGUCUGAUCGUGCAGUUUGCAAACAUCAAUGGAAAGAUUACAAUCCAAUGCAUUUGUCAUCGUCAACCGUAUGGAAUGUCAAUUAGGCGAUGAGUGAGUUUUUAGCAUGUUUCUUUCUAUUUUAUUAAUUUAAAAAUGUCUGCCCCCAUGGUGAUGAAAUGACAUGUGUUCGAGUUUUGAUAUUUCUAGAUAUGCAAACUUUUUUUACUAUUUAAGCGUAACUUGCCCUCGUCAAUGUCGAUAUCAUUCACUAGUUAUAUAAUUUUCCGCCGAAAUACGUGGAAUAAACAUGAUUCAGAUUUUUGAAAAUAAUGUAUAUUUUAGUGUUAAAAUCUCUUUGUAUUUUGAUUGAUUUUGUGGAUGUUAUGAUACAGUCGAUCGGGUAGUUCCGGAUCUCGGGUAAUUCCGAAUCAACUCUAUGAUUUAAUUAAAAUAUUAGUCUAAAAGAUAUUGCCAUAUCAAUAUAACUGUGAUUUUUGGAAAAUGUGAUCAAUUUCAAGCAAUAAUACAGUUUAACUGCUUAUUUCAACGGUGUUUGCAUUGAAAAUCACACUUUGGUAACUAUCACAGUCGUGUCAUUUUACCGUCGCACCGUCUAGCUAUAACAUGCGUCAACAAUUAAAAGACGAUUUAGAAGCAAAUUUCCUUGGUAAAUGCUUGUACAUUUCGUAUGAAUUUGUUUAUUUACUAUUAUGUUUAAAUUCUUGUGAGUAAUUAUAGUAUAUGUUUAUGAUUUAUGGAAAUAAAAGCAUGGAAAUUGCACCUCGUGUACAUGUCAGUUACAGAUCAGCUGAUUGGGGAAAAUCUCAAAACAGUGUAUUAUUGUUUAAAUACUGUGUUAGUAAUAUUUUAAAGCUCUAGCUACCACAAAAGUUUGUGUGUGUAUAUAUAUAUAUAUAUAUAUAUAUAUAUAACGAAAAGUGCCUAGUUUCUCAUAAAUUUGAUAUAUUGUUUCAUUGGAAUUAUUUAAUUAUAAUACUAUUUUGUGACUUCAAUGUCGAGAAAUACAGAAAAUAAGAUUGAAUUUUGUUUAUUCCGUCUGUCUUUCUGCCCUAAAACUUUAACCUUUUUAAUAAAAUGAAACUUUAUGGACCUGGUUCUCCAAACUUUACAUGUUCUUGCAUCUGAUUGAGAUCUAUUAUGCAAACCAGUUAUGAGGCAUUAGGUCUAAGUUACAAGGCCAAGGCUAACACAUACAGUUAGCAUUUGUUGAAUGCAUCUUGGUUUAUUUGUAUGUUUAUGUGUUUAGUUAUAAGUUAUAACAUUUAAAGGUAUAAUAGCAGAGUAAUAAAAACCACUGUACUAUAGAAAAAUAUAUGGAUUAAUAAAUACUGGUAAGAUGUUACUAGUGCUGGAAGGAGAUUGGUAAUAUUUUAAAUAUUUAUCCUUAUUUUUAAUGUGUAUUUAUGCUGUGAUUUUGCAUUUAAGAUAAUUGUCAAGUAGGACUGAUGGGUCCUAAUAGCACGGGUGCUCUGUACAGUCAUUGGCAAAGAGGCUGAAGCGGAUACUUUUAUAUAUUUUUACAUUAUUGUGAUCUUAUUAUUGUUAAAUGUUGCCAUAAUAUGUUAUUAAAUAAAAAUUUAACUUGAUAUCUAGUAUUGUCUUCCAUUUCUUUACCAUUUUUAUCCCACUGGUACUGGUUUAUGUUGUGUUUUUCUUGGAUCCUUUUAUAACAUUAUUUUUACAUUAUUGUGAUCUAUUAUUGUUACAUGUUAUCAUACUAUGUUAUUUACCAAAAAAGUAACUUGAUAUCUAGUAUUGUUUAUUUAUUUAUUUAUUUCUUUAGCAAAUUUAUUCCAGGGGCACUGGUUUAUGUUUUCUUUUUUAUGGAUGCUUUUAUAUAUUUUUACAUUAUUGUUAUCCUAUUAUUAGCAAAUGCAUUCCAGAGGUACUUGUUUAUGUUCAGUUGUCAUUUUUAUGCCCCCGGAUCGAAUGAUUGGGGCAUAUUGUUUUUGGCCUGUCUGUCAUUCUGUCCCAAAACUUUAACCUUAGUUAUAAAGCUUUUGCGAUAUUUAAGAUUGAAACUUGAUAUUUGGCAUGCAUGUGUAUCUCAUGGAGCUGCACAUUUUGAGUGGUGAAUGGUCAAGGUCAUCGUUCAAGGUCAAAGGUCAAAAAAGCUAAUCCAAGGAAGUAAUAAGCUUUAAAGGGAGAUAAUUAUCUGUACCUACCAAAUGAUAAAAAAAAAUCAAAGCGGCGAAAUAAGGGGCAUUGUGUUCCUGACAAACACAUCUCUUGUUAUAAAUACAUUUAUUUAAAGUUCUUAUUUUUUAGGACAUUAGUUAUAAAAAUAUUUUCUAGUCAUACAUAAAAUGUUCUAGUCAUAAGCAUAUAUGUCAUAUUUUAAUACAGUUUGUACAUUAUUGUGAUUCUAUUGUUGUUAAAAGUUAUCAUAUUAUGUUAUUUCCCAAGAAGGUAUCUUGAGUUUCUCAAUAAAUUGCUUGUAUUGAGUAUUUGUGUUUGUUUUAUAUAACCAAUAAUACAAAGGAAUCCAUUUCAAAUCAAAACAUAAAUACUUUCCAACAGCUUUAUUCUUCUGUGUACAGACAUACACCCUAUAAUGUUUUUAAAUUGUCAGACAGUUAUUUAACUGAAACAAACGAACCUAUCUGAUGUUUUAUUUAAUACAUGCAUUUGUUUUGACAGUCAAAAUAAUUGUUGACAGCCAAAAUAAGUUUUGAGAUGAUCCCUGACCUACAUCUUCCCAAUAGUCUGAGUGAUCCGAAAUUACCGCACUCGAUUCAGAACUAGCCGACUUUAUGCAAGUGAAUAAGUUCGAAUUGGCAUCAGAAAUGUAUUGGUUGGAGACUACAUGAGACUUUGACAGAUGGCGGGAAACCCUUCUCAACUGGUACGAAGCCGGUAAAUAGAUGGCCAUAAAACAGUGACCGCUGAUUCGCGUCGAGUUCUUUCUUGCAUAACAAGAUGUUCUGUGAAGGCAAGAGCUGGGCAUCAUACAAGCCAUUCUAUCCAGCAAAACUGACAGUUUUGGUUUACAGAAAUCAACAAAGGAGGGAUUCCUCAACUAUCAAAUUUCCAAGCUAUACACACAGUUAUUAUCUGUGGUGAUCUUUAUUGGUUCUGUUUGUUUACUUGGAUGGAACAUGUGUGAACUUUUAUAGAACUUUGAAAAGUCUAUAUAUGUCUAUCUAUAAACAAAAAUCAGCUAUUGUAUAAUAAGAUCAGAUGUGCAAACAAUGUCAAAGGGUUGUUAAAUUAACAAUUUGAAGGCAAUUGUGCUGAAAAAAUAUGUUCCCAUGCAAUUUUUGUCUGUAUAUCAGCAAGUGUCUGCCGAUAAUUGUCAAACUUGUAAUACAAAACUUACCACAAGAAUGUUAAAGCACUAAGUACCUGUGAUCAUUUUUAGUAAGAUAGUGUAAUUCUAAACAGUAGCAAAUAGCUUGUUUAGUAAAUGCAUAAUGCAAUUAAUAUGAUUUCCGUUCUAUUGUGUAAUUAAUAAAUUGGUUGUUACUUGUUAAUCCAUGAUAAAUGUUUUAUGGCUAGUACAAAACCAGCAAUGUUAAUUUAGUAAAAGGUAAUACAAUAACACCACUUUGUAAUUUCAUAUAAGUAAAAAUUCUUGAAAUGUAGGAUGAUGACAGUGUUUUAGUUUUACUUAUUUUGUAACUAUUAUUUUAUGUGCAAAUAAAUGAUGUGGAGUGUUUUGUAUCUCCACACAAUACCACA